UGRUGAGGUAACGGCUCACCAAGUYGACGAUCAGUAGCCGGACUGAGAGGUUGAACGKCCACAUUGGGACUGAGACACGGCCCAGACUCCUACGGGAGGCAGCAGUGGGGAAUAUUGCACAAUGGGGGAAACCCUGAUGCAGCGAUGCCGCGUGGAGGAAGAAGGUUUUCGGAUUGUAAACUCCUGUCUUAAAGGACGAUAAUGACGG
rnacentral:rRNA from 1 species